UAAACUUUUUUACUCAAUUUAAACUGCAAAUUUAUUAGUAAUUUUAUUUAUUUUAUCACACAUUGGCGAUUAUUUGAAUUUUAAAUUAAAAUUUUUACAAUGAGUAAGAUUUUUUAAUUGUUGCAAUUGCUGAAAUAUAUGAUAAUACAUCUCAGUAGAUAAAAAUUUAUAAGCAGUGUGAAAAUAAUUAAAAAUUACACGAUUCUAGUGAUUGUUUAUGAUAAAUGCGAUAAAGCCGAAGCGUGAUGUUUUGAAAUACUAAAAACAUUAACAAACAAGUGAGUAAUUUGUCUGAAAAUAUCUGAAAACACAAAUGCUGCAUUAAGAAUAUUAAAAAGAUAAAAAUAAAUAAUCUCUCGAAGCAAAAAGCGACUCGAAUAAAUAGAAUCAAACCUUUGGUAAUUCAUUCGGUCCUAAGACACGCUGCAUAACUGAUUCCGCCACCUGUUCAUUAUUUAAUCAAAGAUUCACUUGAGCUGGACAGUGAACUCAGCAUAGUACUGAAACUCCCGGCUGUAUCUACCUACGGUUUGUACCUUUUGUUUCAUCGCCACCUCGGGAUGAGCAACCUCGUAAUGAUGAGGAGCGGCCCUUAUCAUUGGAUUUGGAUGGUGGCGAAGGUAACAUUCACCUAAUGGAGCAUCCUUCUUGAUCUUGGCGCCUGGCAAGACCAGAGGAGUUGUGCGGUAC